GCCCGGCUAGCUCAAUCGGUAGAGCGUGAGACUCUUACAAAGGCCGGAGGAGGUCAUCCUCCUGAGGUACCGAAGGAGAGGUCACAUCUCAAGGUUGUGGGUUCGACCCCCACGUCGGGCU
rfam:Thielavia terrestris NRRL 8126 chromosome 1, complete sequence.